rnacentral:rRNA from 1 species
UGGGGAAUUUUGGACAAUGGGCGCAAGCCUGAUCCAGCCAUGCCGCGUGCGGGAAGAAGGCCUUCGGGUUGUAAACCGCUUUUGUCAGGGAAGAAAUCUUCUGAGUUAAUACCUCGGGAGGAUGACGGUACCUGAAGAAUAAGCACCGGCUAACUACGUGCCAGCAGCCGCGGUAAUACGUAGGGUGCAAGCGUUAAUCGGAAUUACUGGGCGUAAAGCGUGCGCAGGCGGUUUUGUAAGACAGAGGUGAAAUCCCCGGGCUCAACCUGGGAACUGCCUUUGUGACUGCAAGGCUUGAGUGCGGCAGAGGGGGCAUGGAAUUCCGCGUGUAGCAGUGAAAUGCGUAGAUAUGCGGAGGAACACCGAUGGCGAAGGCAAUCCCCUGGGCCUGCACUGACGCUCAUGCACGAAAGCGUGGGGACGCAAACAGGAUUAGAUAGCCCCUGGUAGUCCACGCCCCUAAAACCGAUGUCAACUGGUUGUUGGGAAGGUUCCUUCUCAGUAACGUAGCUAACGCGUGAAGUUGACCGCCUGGGGAGUACGGCCGCAAGGUUGAAACUCAAAUGAAUUGACGGGGCUCAUAGCUGUUUCCUG